UUGUAGAAAGAAGAUAUUCUGCAAAUCAACAACACACAUCCAAAAUACUUCAUAAUUGCUGGAAAGGAGGCUACAUCUAUUGCCAUAAUUUGGUUCAUUUACAUGCUCUUGAAACAUCCUGAGAUUCAAGAUAUGGUUGAAUAAGAAAUCAAAGAAGCAACAAACAUGAGGAACAAAUUCAAGAUAAGCUUCCUGUAACUUGGAACAAAACUCUCGCGAGUCUAUCCUGCAUCUCAGUGUGAUAGGGAUACGGAGCUAAUCCAUGAUCUAGCAGACUGCAGACUCGUAUUUGGUGCAACUAGACAAAUUGAAGUUAUAUGAGGAUAAGUAAUGGACAAAUGUCUCAACAAGCCACACGCGUGGACAAAUGCUAUAGGCUGUCAAUUUCAAGGCAUCUUGGUGGUGGGAUAAGACUUUGGGACCAAUAGGUCUUGGGUUUGAUUCCCACAAAGGGGGUUUUCCCAUAUUUAUUGGGUUUCCUCCUGAAUUGGUGUAUAGGCAUUAUGCCUAGUGGAGAUGGAUAUGAUCGGGUGGUUCCGCUGGUGGCACGAUGAUACUCCAGUGGUCCGUCAGUGAUCCAAAUUUGCCGUUCAAAAAAAAAUUCAAGGAACUUAUAAUUGAUGAAGAAUUAAUGGAGAUUACCUCUGAUGGUAAGUUACCACUAAUGAGGAUUAUGGAACUAGCCUAUGAUGUCAAUUGUCAAGUUACCAUCUGGAUGAAGAUCAAGGGAACUUACCAAACUGAAGCAAGUUACCUCUAGUGAAGAUUGAUGAAGUCUCGCUAAUGAAGAAGAGAUGCCACAUGUUAGCCUAUCAUUUGACGAAGACAAUCUGUUGAGAGGAUGUUAUACAUAAUUCUCACUUGUCAAUUUCGUACGUCUCGACAAGAAUAUAGAUACACGAGUUUGCAUUGAUAUUAUUAUCACUUGGCCCCAUAGUUUAAUGUGUCAAGCAGUUGAGUGUGAAGUCGGUGCAUGAACUUAUGUGUGCAAAUUCAGAGAAAAUUUGCAUGUCACCCUCUUCAUAGCUAGAGCGUUAGCUAGAAAACCAUAUGUAAAUUCAAUUUUAAUUUAUAACUAGUUUUACAUGAUGUAUUCAAACAA